rnacentral:lncRNA from 1 species
UGCAGAUAUUAAAUGUGUAUUGAAAAGCAAUGAUUACAUGUUUCAAUGUGAUUAGGUGGUGUGCUCCAUAUCAUUUUUAUUACGACGCAUGCGGUAUUUAAAGACUUUCUCAUAGGGUGGUACAGCUAUUGACAUAAUGGCCCAAUCAAAAUAUGUUGGUUAUUUGCAGUUUCCUAGGAAAGAGUGUAGAGUGAGCUGGACC